CAGAUAGUAACGUCAAGUCAUCGGGCUGAACCACUAUCCCAGACAUAAACCGUGUAUAGCCAGAAGACAUUAUGGCAACUGAGAUUCCACUGCUAUUUGUUUAUGAGUUUCCCAGAGUGCGUAGCACUGUACGUGGCCCUAAGUACACACUAAAUAAAAUUUGGUUGAACUAAAAGGAAUGAGACUGAACUAAGCAUGUCUUCAGUUGGAUUCUCCAGGAAUCAGACUCUGAGGCAGUGUUCACAGGCAGGCAGUUUGUUAAAAGUAUGUUGAGGAAUCCAUCGCUGCAGGGGAGCUGGAGGAUAUAUACCAGGGAAAACGAUGAAAUCCCCUGGGACUGUCUUGAGACCUUCACCUG